rnacentral:rRNA from 1 species
AACGAACGCUGGCGGCAGGCUUAACACAUGCAAGUCGAACGCAUCCUUCGGGGUGAGUGGCAGACGGGUGAGUAACGCGUGGGAACGUGCCCUUCAGUUCGGGAUAACCCAGGGAAACUUGGGCUAAUACCGGAUACGUGCUAGAGCAGAAAGAUUUAUCGCUGAAGGAUCGGCCCGCGUCUGAUUAGCUAGUUGGUGGGGUAAUGGCCCACCAAGGCGACGAUCAGUAGCUGGUCUGAGAGGAUGAUCAGCCACAUUGGGACUGAGACACGGCCCAAACUCCUACGGGAGGCAGCAAUGGGGAAUAUUGGACAAUGGGCGCAAGCCUGAUCCAGCCAUGCCGCGUGAGUGAUGAAGGCCUUAGGGUUGUAAAGCUCUUUCGUCCGGGACGAUAAUGACGGUACCGGAAGAAGAAGCCCCGGCUAACUUCGUGCCAGCAGCCGCCGCAG